rnacentral:rRNA from 1 species
AUUGAACGCUGGCGGCAGGCCUAACACAUGCAAGUCGAGCGAGCGGCGGACGGGUGAGUAAUGUCUGGGAAACUGCAUGUUGGAGGGGGAUAACUACUGGAAACGGUAGCUAAUACCGCAUACCAUACGAUGUGCUCAGAUGGGAAUAGCUAGUAGGUGGGGUAACGGCUCACCUAGGCGACGAUCCCUAGCUGGUCUGAGAGGAUGACCAGCCACACUGGAACUGAGACACGGUCCAGACUCCUACGGGAGGCAGCAGUGGGGAAUAUUGCACAAUGGGCGCAAGCCUGAUGCAGCCAUGCCGCGUGUGUGAAGAAGGCCUUCGGGUUGUAAAGCACUUUCAGCGGGGAGGCGUUACCCGCAGAAGAAGCACCGGCUAACUCUGUGCCAGCAGCCGCGGUAAUUC